ACAAAUGAGUUCGAGAACUGAUCAUGUUUUGGAUUCUUCACUUCUGCAUCUGUGAACUGGGGAUACCAAUGCUGGCUUCCACCCCCAAGCUUGGGUAACUAACACGAGUCUACCACUCCCAAGAUAGAUCUACUGGCUGUCCUGGGACUCCUAGGCCUUUCUUCCAACGGACUUUAGUUUCCUUUUCUCUGCUUCCUGGCCUCUCAGAAGUGGUCUGCCCUAUCUUCCGCACGUUCCUGUCACUGUGAUGUGCUGCCUCACCACAGGACCUUGGCACAGAGCCAGCCCGCCAUGGAUGAAGACCUCUGAAGCCAUGAGCCUAGCAUUAACAGGUGCACAUGGAAGCUUCUAGAAACCCUUAUCUACACUGGAGAAUAAUCAGGACUGAGCAGCCUGGUGCCUUGCUGGACCCGAUUGCCAAAGUCCCUGCAGCUCUCUGAAGGUGGGGGAUUGCAGUGGGCAUCUGCUCUGUGCAGGUAAAUCAAUGAAGGACGAAGCUGUCUGCCUGGGGAGUCUGUGCCCACUGCUCUCCUCCUUGAAGCUGCAGAAAGGGAAUGUCUGACAGCUUGGUGGGGCCCUGGCCUUGGAGGAGACUUGGUCCGGAACAUUACAGGCCUGAAAGUUGGACAGACCAAGAAGAGGGUCAAGAAGAGUCCAUCACGGAGGGG
rnacentral:lncRNA from 1 species